rnacentral:lncRNA from 1 species
CUUUGGAGCAGGAGGGGCUGAAUGGCGACAUGGAAUCACCCAGAGGAGAGGGACCCUCUGUGAGUCAGGAGGGAGAUGCUGCCAUGGCACCUCUGGGGCAGGAGGCAGCUCUGCAAGGUAAUGACCCUGGAUUAGCUCCCUGUGCCAAGGAUAAUUCAGUGGGCACACCCUCUGCAAUUCACAUUGGAGAACCUCAACAAAACCAGGAAGCAGUGGCGGCAGCAGCAGGCUCGGCAGGGCUGGCCUGGCAGCGCUGUGGGGAGCAUGGCAGCGUAGCUGCUGCUGCUGGGUGGCCUGGGGACCAUGCAGGGGAUGAGGGGUCUCCAGAGCAGAGCCUUUCACAGCAGGCUGAAGGAGGCAAAGCUGAGCCUGAGCAGGAGGCCUGUGCAAGGGGCAGGGAGCAGGUUUUGUUGGAGGAGUUUCUUGCUGUGGAACCCUCUGUCUGCAGUAAGGGGGGGCCUGUGGCAAGCAGCAGCGAUGUGGAUGCUGGGCUGAAAGGGGCAGUCUGUGCUGAAGAAGUGUGCAAGGCUGGGGCAGCGGGUGCAGGAGAAGGCAUCAUGCACAGACCUGCAUCAGCAGGUGAGUCACUGGGUGUGGAGAGCAGCCCUGGUCCAGAUACAGGGCUGCACCAGGAACAUGAUCCUGGUCAAACCCUACAGCAAACCUCCCCGUGCAGCGGCACCCCCGAGUUAAAGGAUGCUUUGGAAAUGGGAGCCCCAAGCGAUGCCUGUGAGGGUAAGGAAGCAUUAAGGCCGGUGACAAUACCUCCCACUGCAGUGUAUCCAGAAGAGCAGGAGGAUAAGGAAAGUGUGCUUCCCCGCGCAGCGCUUCAGCCCAUUGCAGAGGAGCCCACAUGUGACAGCGACUCCAGCACUGACACUGUUUGUCCCGUCAGCGAGACCGAUGCUGAUCCUGCUGCAGAAACAGCUCAGGGGGAGGUCUCAGCUGAGCCCAAUGGAGGGCAAAGCCAAGCUGUGCCUGCAUCGCCCUUCUCACCGUGUUCGUGCCGUUUACGUGCUGUUGAGUCACUGGAAAAUGUGGGAGUGAAGAGUUUGGUUUCGGCAGAUGGUGGCUUGUCUCUGGAUAAAGGUCCUAAAAUGGUGAAAAGCUUUGAUGCAGUGGUUUUUGCAGCAGAGACACCUUGUUCCCCUGAAUUACCAGCCACAGAGAAAGCAGGGCUUGAGCCCCAGGCGACAGUGGAUGUGGGAGCCAGCCUCAAUGGAGAAAUGGAUGUAAGUCUCUCGACAAAGAAGAGGAACGGCAGCCCAGCAGUGCAACGACCUGAGCCUGUUACAGGGAACUUGGAAAUGAAAACUGAGGACGAGGUGGAUUUUCUGAAGGAUCACGAGGAGCGUGCAGUCCGUGAGGCAGCGGUGAGUGCCACUGAUGUGUUACGUGUCA